AAUAUUACCUGGUGCCGAGACCUCCGUAAUAAGGAAGGCGGAGACCCCAGGAGGAGGCCCUUCCAUUGCACUUCGGAACGGCUGAGACCUACCACUCUCCCAAAUUGGGAAAGAUGGGGGAUGGC
rnacentral:snRNA from 13 species